GUGGGUGAUCUGCCCUGCACUUUGGGAUAAGCCUGGGAAACUGGGUCUAAUACCGAAUAGGACCACGCGCUUCAUGGUGUGUGGUGGAAAGCUUUUGCGGUGUGGGAUGGGCCCGCGGCCUAUCAGCUUGUUGGUGGGGUAAUGGCCUACCAAGGCGACGACGGGUAGCCGGCCUGAGAGGGUGACCGGCCACACUGGGACUGAGAUACGGCCCAGACUCCUACGGGAGGCAGCAGUGGGGAAUAUUGCACAAUGGGCGCAAGCCUGAUGCAGCGACGCCGCGUGAGGGAUGACGGCCUUCGGGUUGUAAACCUCUUUCAAUAGGGACGAAGCGCAAGUGACGGUACCUAUAGAAGAAGCACCGGCCAACUACGUGCCAGCAGCCGCGGUAAUACGUAGGGUGCGAGCAUUGUCCGGAAUUACUGGGCGUAAAGAGCUCGUAGGUGGUUUGUCGCGUUGUUCGUGAAAACUCACAGCUUAACUGUGGGCGUGCGGGCGAUACGGGCAGACUAGAGUACUGCAGGGGAGACUGGAAUUCCUGGUGUAGCGGUGGAAUGCGCAGAUAUCAGGAGGAACACCGGUGGCGAAGGCGGGUCUCUGGGCAGUAACUGACGCUGAGGAGCGAAAGCGUGGGGAGCGAACAGGAUUAGAUACCCUGGUAGUCCACGCCGUAAACGGUGGGUACUAGGUGUGGGUUCCUUCCUUGGGAUCCGUGCCGUAGCUAACGCAUUAAGUACCCCGCCUGGGGAGUACGGCCGCAAGGCUAAAACUCAAAGGAAUUGACGGGGGCCCGCACAAGCGGCGGAGCAUGUGGAUUAAUU
rnacentral:rRNA from 1 species